rnacentral:lncRNA from 1 species
CUAUUUCAAAGCGUCACCUGGUCUGUGGUAACUGUUGAAUCACAGUCUGAGCCACUGAUUAUCACCUAGGGAAGGGACCUGGUCAGCCCUGGUUAGUGCAGGUGAGGGCAAUGCAGCUGAGUGACUGGAAGGGAUGGAGCCUGGCUGCACCUCUCUUACAGCUCAUUUUUGAAGGCUGACUGCCACUAGAGAAGGAUAUCUGGUUGAGGAUCCCUCCCUUGUGAGUUUUCCUUGUGAGUCUUGAUCUUUGGAGAUAGGUGAGCACUUUUCCUUUCUAACACCUUUCCAUUCAAGCUAGUCCCUUUGCUACUACGCUCCUGUAUCAUCUUUCCACCACGCUGACCUUUCUGAUAGUUAUACCCAGCGAAGAUCACAAGUUAUCCCAAUGAAAAGCCCACACAUAGACUUUUUCCUGGAUACAGUUUCAUCUUGCAGCCUUGAAUGUACAAAGAUGCAGACUUGCUGAGGUGAAUGUUACAUGUUUCUUAUCUAAGGUCAGUGCUUGGUUUCAGCAUACUUCCUGUUAUGUGUGAUGCUCGGUUACUAACGUGAAUCAUUGGGAUAGCUGCUAUUGAGCUCAUGCAACUUUCAUAACAUCACGGAACUUCUAUUCAAUAUGUCAUAAUGGCAGGAUCGAAUAAGCCUCUGGGCCAGUGAUUCCCCUUGGUCUGGGAGGUGGCUGGGAAGCAGAUUUUGCCCUGCUCAUUUCUGAAGUGCAUGGUUACCGGCCCUGGCUUCAGAGCAAGGAGAAGAUGGUUAAGAACAACAACAAGGACUUGAAUGGCUGUGAGAAGUUUCUUACAGCACCAGCAAAGAGCUAAGAAUCAACUUUUAAAGUCUGCCUACAGAGAAAGCACCCUUCAACUCUUGGUGAACAAUUACAGCUACCCUGACACAGUAACUUAGAGCCAUCUCCAUGUCUCCACUGCUCUGCCAUCUGCCACCUACCCCAGACCUCCCCUUGGCUGCAAUCCAGGACCCUCACUGGCUUUGCAGAUGCCCAAACACCCCAGUGGCUGCAGAAUUGGAGUUUAAAUAAAACAAAGCACUGAUGCA